AAUGGACAUUGACAAGCACAUUUGAAAAUUUAUAUGGAAAUGUAAAGCACUUAAAUAGUCAAAACAUUUGUUUAAAAGAACAAAACUGGAGGGUUUACAAUACCAUGUCAAGACUUACCAUAAACUACAGUAAUUAAAAAAGUAUGGUACUGAUGCAAGAAUGGAUAAUUAGUCCAAGUGGAAAGAACAGAGUCCAGAAACAGACCCAAAUAUAUGACCAUUCAUUUAUUAACAAAGUCCCCACGCAAUUCAAUGGGAAAAGAAAGGUGUUGUUUUUUUCAAUAAAUGUGUAGAGUAGAUGGAUGUCCAUAUACAAAAUAAAUCUUGAUCCCCCCCUCACACCAUACACAAAAAUCAACUGGUGAUAAUCACAGAUCCAACAGCUAAAACUAUAAAGUUUCUGGAGGAAAACAAAGGCAAAUGUCUUCAAAAUCUUGAGAGUGGGCUGGGCGCGGUGGCUCACACCUGUAAUCCCAGCACUUUGGGAGGCCAAGGCGGGUGGAUCACGAGGUCAGGAGAUCAAGACCAUCCUGGCCAACGCGGUGAAACCCCGUCUGUACUAAAAAUACAAAAAAUUAUCCAGGCAUAGUGGUGGGUGAACACAGCCCAAUAAAAUUUUAUAAACAGAAACAUGCAGUGGGUUGGAAUUGGCCCACAGGCCAUAGUUUGCCAACCCUUGAUACAAAGCAAAAAUAAAAAACAAACAAAAAUUCUUAUACAUGCAACAUGGAUGAAUACAAUGUGAACAAAAGAAUAAACUGUAUGACUCCGUUUAUAUGAAGUUUAAAAACAUUUGAAAAUAAUACAUGGUCAUAGAAAUCGGGACAGUAGUUGACUGGGGGAAGCGAGUGGCUCCAUUGAUAGGAAGGGGCAGAAGGAAUGAAAAUGUUUUAUAUGUUUAUCUGGGUAGUAAUCACAAAGGUAUACACAUAUGUAAAUUUCACCAAGCUACACACUUUUUUUUGUUGUACAUAAAUUAUAGAACUAAAAAACAUAUGUAGAAUUCAACAUGGAUAAAAAAUAUAUUAAAUACAUUAAAUCUACCUUAAAAGAUGUGGGUGAUAGAGUGAGGAAGUCUAACAGAAGUCUAAUCAUAGCUCCUAAAGAAUAGGACAAAAAUGUGUGAAAAUAAAGAGAUAAAAGACAAAACUUUCCUGAAUUAAUGAAACAUAAACCUUAGAGACAGGAGAUUUUAUUCAUAUAUAUAUAUACAUUUAUAUAAAUAUAUUUAAUUUUUAUAUAAACUCUACAGAGAGAUUAUAUAUAAUCUAUAUAUAAAGUGUAUGUGUAUAUAUUAUAUAUAUACACACACCUACAUACAUUGCCUCAAAAGUCUGUGAGUACAAAUUAUUCUUGAUGAUACAAGGAGCAGUUAAAACCAUAAAGCAAUUCUCGAAUUUCAAAGAAUUGUUGGCCUUGACACGUAUGCUAACUACAGUGCAAAUUAGAAAUCAGUAACAAAAGGAUAACUCACAAAACCUUCCACAUUGGAACUAGACUACUUUCUACAAAUCUCUUAGGGGAAGAAAAAAUAUCACAAUGAAAAAAUCUUAAAUUCUUAGAACUGAACAAUAUACUACAUAGAAAGCAGCAGUAAAUGAAAAUCUGCAGUAUUUUCAAAUGACAAAUAAACCAGGAUUAACAGCCUGGAAAUAAGCCCAAACAUAUCUGGGUACUGUAUGUGACAGAAGUGGCACUGCUAAUCACUGAUAUUGGGACAAUUACCUUUUCAUGUGGGAAUCUGAAAAUUAAUUAAGCUUGAUCUCAUAACAUAAAAUAUAUACAUCUCAAUAUAUACAUGUCUCAGGUAAAUUAAAGAACAAAAUGUGGACAAAACAUAAACUUAAAAAUUCUUAGAAAAAUAUUCAGAAUACAUUUCAUUAAUAGUAGAGUAUCUUAAGACAAAAAGCAUAAGGAUUAAUGUCUACAGUUUAAUAUCUGCAAGUAUAUAACAAAUAUUUGUAUCCAGAAUGUUUUCCAAUAUAAAUUUCUGCAAUGAUGGAAAUAUUCUGUUCUAUAAUGUAUAAUGUAAAAUAUAUAACAUAAUAAAAUAUAAUAAAAUAUUAAAGUCAUAUGAGGCUAUUGAGCACUAAAAAUGUGGCCUGAAAGAACUGAGGAACAGAAAUUAUUGAGGUAAAUACAAUAUGUUAGCAUUUUAAAACGCUGAAAGUCUGUAAAGUUCUGUGAUUUUUAUAUACUUUUUAGUAUUUCGUUUUUCAUAACAAAAUUUGAUUUUAGCUAAAAUUACUAUAUAAAAUAUUCCAGUUGUGUACAAAACAUGUAAAUGUGACUUUUGGGAAAGCAAACACACCAAAUGAUGUUUUCUCCUAAAUGCUUUUUGAAAUAUUAUAAAUUAAGUUAUAAGAAUACAUAAAGAAUAAUUUAAUGAAUACUGGUAUGUCCACCAUGGAAUUUAUGAAAUAAAACAUUACUGAUAAAUUCCCUAGGUACUCCUCCCUGAGCAAGAUUUUUUUUUUCUAAAAAGAAGCCAGGAAAUAAGAAUAACAGACGGAGAGCCCUAGACUCAGGCUUCUUCAGUUUGCAACACCCAUAUUUUAACAUAUUUGGGGGGAAAUGUAACAUUCAAACCCAGUGUGUAUCAUUUAACAAAGAGUUACAAAGCAAACACCCAUGUAACCAUUGCACAGGUCAGGCGAUAAAGCAUUUCCAGCAUCUCUGAGCCCCUGACCCUCUCCUCCCCACUAGGAGAUGACCAUUAGCUUGACUUUUUUUCUUUACUACUUUUAAUGCCUAUACAUGCAUCCCUAAACAACAGCUUUGCUCCACCAGGUUCUGAAUUUUACAUAGAAGAUAUCACACAGCAUUCUCCGGCAACUUUUUUUUUUUUUGGUUCAACACUGAAAGGCAUUUGUGUUGAAACACAAAAAUACUUCAUUGGCCACUGUACAGUGUGCCCUUUUUAUGAGUGGUGUAUAAUUUAUCUUUCUCCUUCAGGUAGGCAUGAAGGCGGCAUCCAGUUUUCUGCCAUUACAGUCAACCUUCUUGUACACGUCUGCUUGUGGACAUGUAUUAAAAUUUAUCUAGGGCAGUGGCUUUCAAACUUUUUUGUCCAUGACUCAUACUAAGGAAUGACGUUUUACAUCAUGACACACAUUUGUGUAUGUAUGAAACUGAGGAGGGGGAGAGAGAUUCAUAAAGCGAACACCCCUAUGACCUGAGAGACACUGAUGUUCUAUUCUCCGUCUGUGUUUUACAAAUUCUGAUCAUCCAUUUAAAUGACUUUACGACCCACUAAAAUGGACUUCAAAUUCUGAAAAACAUUGUUCUUAAGGAUGAAUACCCAGGCGUGCAACUGCUGGAUCAGGAAACACGGACAUCGGACGUCGUCAACUUUUCCAGAUCCUUAACUGUUAAAUGUUCUUAUCUAAGCGCAUAUAAAUUUACCACUAUUUAACUUCAGAGCGAAAAGCGUGAAACAUCAGAGAACAUUUUAUCUUUUCCCUCGGUCAUUAAACAGUAUUAAUCACUUACCAUGUGCUAAGUAAGCAAUCUCUGAGCCCAGCGAGACCGGUGGGUUAAUACGCGGAGGGGCUGCGGGGGAGGACUUAGGGGACCAGGACCUCAGUGAGGCCCCAGAAAGCACCCGGGAGGGGCCUCCGAUCCUGCCUGGGAGGGAGGGGUUAGAGGAGGAUUCCUGGAAGAAGGAGGACCUAAGCUGGGUGUUUCUAUUUUUGAUUUUUAUUGGUUUCCUAAAACAUGAAAGUAACACAUUUGAUGAGAAAAAAUAUUCAAAAUUACAGGAGUAUAUUCAGUAAAAGGUAGAAAUCCCCAUUCCGCCCUGAAAGUUGGAUGCGGAGACUAACAGAAGUCGCAUUAUCAGCUGUCCCGAUCUAGGAAAUUUUUAGGACCCCACGUUUUUAAAUACUUUUAAGAGUAUGUCUGAUACAGUCUGUAAUACUAAAGCAUCAAAAUAAUCAUAUUUUCCAUAAGAGACGAAAGUGCAAACAGUUACUGUCUAGUCCCAUUAUUACUUGGAACAGACUUUUUCUUCUUUUCCUUGUUCUGUUUUUUUCCUGGCCCGUUGGCGAGGUUAGAGCGCCAGGUUGUAAGAAUCGGGUCUGUGGACCUCAUACCAGAUAGGCGCGAACGCCUCUGGCAGCGGCGUCCAGGGGGUCCGGCGGCACUCGCGGUGGGGCUGCCUGGGUUGCGGGUGACGAUCUGCGGGGUCCCGCACCCGGCCCCGCGGAGCCCGGACCCGCACGUAGGCGGCGCGGCAAAGGCACACCCUCCUCGCGGCCGCGAACCCAGCGCCGUCCUCGCAGCGCGGCAAUGCACGGCCACCGCUGCCCCCAGCCCGCCCGCCGCAGCCGCGAGCACCCAAACACCUACCCUGCGGGGCGACGACCCCCGGAGCUCAGGCGAGGCCGCUCGGGCGUGCCACCUCCGCGGCCAUGACGGCGACCCGGGGAAGCGCCCCGCGCGCCAAGGCCCCGCGCUGCUGAGCUGUGAGCACGGCUGCCCCGUCCGUCCGUCCGUCCAGCACCCGCCCGGAGAGUGAGGCCAGAGCACGCCCCAGCCGUGUCUAAAUCAAGGCUCGGGGCGGUACCGACGGGCUGAAUGACAAAUGGCAGAUGCCGUGGGCUUUGCCGCCCGCGGCAGCCAAGAGGAUGGCUGCGCCGAGGAGGCCGCGCGCAGGCGGGGCUCGGGAGCCGGAACGGCGCGGCCGCGAGGAGGGCGCUGGGGCCCCUGGCGGGGGCGUCACGUGGCAGGAGGAGGCCCCGCCGGGGAGCUGGGGGUCGGCGGCCGAGGCGGGGGGAGCUGAGCGGCACCCACACGUCCUGCGGGCCGGGUCACCGGUGGGGGCAAAGCCAAGGUCGCCCAGGUACAGCGCUGGCGCAGGUAGACCCGAGCCGGCCUGGGGUCUGCAGCGGGGCCUGCUAGCCGAAGUCUCCGCCAGGAUGGGCCGCCAGAGCCCAAUCACACAUGAGAAACGCGACAGAUGCUGGGACGCUGCAAUAGGCCAAACUAAC
rnacentral:lncRNA from 1 species